rnacentral:rRNA from 1 species
GAUGAACGCUAGCUACAGGCUUAACACAUGCAAGUCGAGGGGCAGCACAGUGUAGCAAUACAUGGGUGGCGACCGGCGCACGGGUGCGUAACGCGUAUCCAACCUUCCCGUUACUCAGGGAUAGCCUUCCGAAAGGGAGAUUAAUACCUGAUGGUGUUCAAAUUCCGCAUGUUAUUUGAACUAAAGAUUUAUCGGUAACGGAUGGGGAUGCGUGACAUUAGGUAGAUGGCGGGGUAACGGCCCACCAUGCCUACGAUGUCUAGGGGUUCUGAGAGGAAGGUCCCCCACACUGGAACUGAGACACGGUCCAGACUACUACGGGAGGCAGCAGUGAGGAAUAUUGGUCAAUGGUCGGAAGACUGAACCAGCCAAGUAGCGUGAAGGAUGAAGGUUCUAUGGAUUGUAAACUUCUUUUAUACGGGAAUAAAACCUCCCACGUGUGGAAGCUUGUAUGUACCGUAUGAAUAAGCAUCGGCUAACUCCGUGCCAGCAGCCGCAGUAAAAC